GCCUUCGUGGUGUAGUGGUCAGCACGCUCGGUUCGUGUUCAAAAGGUCCGUGGUUCGACUCCCAACGAGGGCA
rfam:Stegodyphus mimosarum contig38131, whole genome shotgun sequence.